AGUGUGAUCUACAUAACUAAAUGGAAAUCCUUGAAAAUGAUGGGAAUUUUGCAACUGACUUCAGUGGAAGGAUUAUCACACUUGAGUCUGCACACAAACAGAGAAGCAAGGAGAUGUUUUAUAUGUUUGAAGUGGGAGUUGGGAAAGAUGUUAUGAUCAAAGGGGAAAAGAUGGAUUAGUAAUUGUCCCCACAAGUGGAUGAAAAAGAAGAACAUAUUAUAGGCUAAAAGUAUUGAACUGUUGAUAAAUAAUCAAUCCAUGGCUGUAAAAUAGACAACUUAAAAUGUAACCCUGUAGAGGACAGCAGUCUUCUGAACAGAAAUGCCUCUGAAGCUUUAAGGGAACCAGGUAUGUUGACUUAUUAAAAUGGAAAUAAUUUUUUUCAGCCCUCAGCCUUUGAAACUUUAUGCCUUCCACCUCUGGAAAUCUAGCUCACCCCUUUGCUGGAAAACCUAGUAACUAGUGAAAGAAGAUGCGAUGCAAUAGGAAACGCCGAGGGUACACAUUCACUGAAACUGAUGAAGCUGAACAGAAAUGGGGAAAAAGAGAGAUGAAAGAACAAACUGAACAUACAGGAGCCAAGUAAUGAGGAAAAGAAGAGAGACAAAGAGAGAGAGAAAGGGGGAGAGAGGAAAUGACUUCGGUAAAAGAGAAAGGAAGGAAAAAAAGAGAAGAAAGUGAAGGAGCUUCCCUAAAGAGCAAAGUAGAAAUGAUAAAGAGGAGGUGACUGCUUGCCUGGACACAGCUGAGCACUUCACUCAGGAGGGGUCUGAACUGCAGCCAACUCGAAUACCAAAAAUACCGUGCUGUGCUUUUCAGCAGAGAACUGAUGGAGACUAUGCUCUCACAAUGAACAUAUCUUGAGAAAUGUGGAACUGCUGAUAUGACUAUUACCAACAGUGGGAUAAAAACAGUUAAUUCCUAUUACCAAAUAAAGGGAGAUUAAUCUAGAAAAGGUUAAUGCAUGAUAAUUCUUGAAACACUCUCAUAAAGAACACUAGAUGAAUCAAAGAAAAUGCUUAGGCUUGAGCUGAAAUAGCACAGGGACAGUAAUUAGCCUGACUUCUAUAGGUGGUUUCUUUUGUAUAUCUGAUCAAGACGUUUAAUAAAAAACUUGGAUGCUGAUAUUAUUUAUAAGUGGUGUCUGCAUGUGUAGGCUUAGAGGGCACUGGAAUUGAUUUCUUUUUUGAAGAAUUUUAGUACAGUUUUUCAGUCCUGGAAAUUUAUGAGUGUCUAUACUUAACAUAUGAUUUAAGAAAUUGAUUUUCUUCCUUUAAAUUUAAUUGUAUAGAACAAAAAGGUAGAUUACGUAAAAGCAGCUUUAAAACAAGAUUUUCCUUAUAUGAAGUUGUACUUUUGAGAAAUGAGUUGGAAUCAUGCUUAUGGCAAAUCCAAUUUAGAAUUUGGUGAAUUUAACAUUUUUAUUGAAACUCAUAAAAAUGUAAAAUUUUAUAUACUUUGACAAUAACAUGUGUCUUCAAUACUUUUCACCAAUGUCAGAAAAAGCUAAUGUGCGUUUAAUGUAUUAUAUACAUACAAACUUAUAAAACUUCAUUUUUUUUAUCAUGCAUUCUGUAACUUAACUAUAAUUUCAGGUUUAUGAAAUAAAGGCUUGCACUACA